rnacentral:rRNA from 1 species
AUUGAAUGCUGGCGGCAGGCCUAACACAUGCAAGUCGAGCGGGGUUUUCGGACCUAGCGGCGGACGGGUGAGUAAUGCGUAGGAAGCUACCCGAUAGAGGGGGAUACCAGUUGGAAACGACUGUUAAUACCGCAUAAUGUCUACGGACCAAAGUGUGGGACCUUCGGGCCACAUGCUAUCGGAUGCGCCUACGUGGGAUUAGCGAGUUGGUGAGGUAAUGGCUCACCAAGGCGACGAUCCCUAGCUAGUUUGAGAGGAUGAUCAGCCACACUGGAACUGAGACACGGUCCAGACUCCUACGGGAGGCAGCAGUGGGGAAUAUUGGACAAUGGGCGCAAGCCUGAUCCAGCCAUGCCGCGUGUGUGAAGAAGGCCUUCGGGUUGUAAAGCACUUUCAGUAGGGAGGAAGCGUUGUGUGUUAAUAGUACACAGCGUUGACGUUACCUACAGAAGAAGCACCGGCUAACUCUGUGCCAGCCGCCGCUGUAAGAC